rnacentral:lncRNA from 1 species
CAGCUCAAGCCAGGACAGAACAGCUGCAGGGACAGCGACAGUGAAAGCGCUAGUGGAGAAUCCAAGGGUUUCCAGAGGAGCAGCUCUCGGGAGAGGCUCAGCGAUAGUUCAGCUCCUUCCAGCUUGGGGACAGGCUACUUCUUCUGGAUCUCUCUUUUCCGAGACAUGUAGUCAAAAAUUUCCCUCUGAAUAAUGUGUAACGAAGUCCAAUGCGGCAGAAUGAUUCGUGUGAGUAGUCGUUUGACCUUGGGCCGGGUGUGUGAUAUAUCUGUUUCUCCUUCACCACCCACCUAAUAGAGUUGUGAAUCUUCACCAAAUGACAUAAUUAAUGUGCACAGUUAAUGGUAAGCAAUAAA